rnacentral:rRNA from 1 species
UGGGGAAUAUUGCACAAUGGGCGAAAGCCUGAUGCAGCAACGCCGCGUGAGUGAUGAGGGCCUUCGGGUUGUAAAGCUCUGUCUUCUGGGACGAUAAUGACGGUACCAGAGGAGGAAGCCACGGCUAACUACGUGCCAGCAGCCGCGGUAAUACGUAGGUGGCAAGCGUUGUCCGGAUUUACUGGGCGUAAAGGAUGCGUAGGCGGAUACUUAAGUCAGAUGUGAAAAUCCCGGGCUUAACUUGGGAACUGCAUUUGAAACUGGGUAUCUAGAGUGCGGGAGAGGAAAGUGGAAUUCCUAGUGUAGCGGUGAAAUGCGUAGAGAUUAGGAAGAACACCAGUGGCGAAGGCGACUUUCCGGACCGUAACUGACGCUGAGGCAUGAAAGCGUGGGGAGCAAACA